AGAGUUUGAUCAUGGCUCAGGAUGAACGCUAGCUACAGGCUUAACACAUGCAAGUCGAGGGGAAACGACAUCGAAAGCUUGCUUUUGAUGGGCGUCGACCGGCGUACGGGUGAGUAACGCGUAUCCAACCUGCCCACCACUUGGGGAUAACCUUGCGAAAGUAAGACUAAUACCCAAUAGAUAUCUCUAGAAGACAUCUGAAAGAGAUUAAAGUAUUUAUCGGUGAUGGAUGGGGAUGGCGUCUGAUUAGCUUGUUGGCGGGGUAACGGUCCACCAAGGCAACGAUCAGUAGGGGUUCUGAGAGGAAGGUCCCCCACAUUGGAACUGAGACACGGUCCAAACUCCUACGGGAGGCAGCA
rnacentral:rRNA from 1 species